AUUUUUAUAGCACAAAAGCUAAAUAAAUUCAUACAUACUGUAAUACAGAUAACCAAAGCAUAAGAUUUAAUUUACAAUGACACGUGGGCCCACGAACGACCAAAAGUAUUAAAAACGGUAAACCUACAGUUUUUGAGGAUGCAAGUCCAACUGUAGCCCUCAAUGAAAUCAGCUAUUUACCGACUAUCCUGAGCCUGAAAGGAGUGGAAAGGAGGGUGGUGAGAUUAUAUAAUCCUAGUGAGUAAGCAAAUAUCAUCUAAAAUAUCUAAAGCCGAGUAAAUGGAGGCAAAUAAAAUAGAUUAGCAUAAAAAUGAUUCACAGCAUUUCAAACUCAUUUUAAUAAGAUAAAAUAAAUUCAUUUCACCCAAACAAACAACGAGGCUUAUGAUUUCCUAAAAAGCUUGGCUCGUGCUAAAAUCAUUCUCAUACUCAGUUAUCAGGGAUACCUUGUCCUAGGGCUAUCCCAACCAAGUCCGUCAAGGCUGUUAAAAAGUCAUGUAUGCAUAAAUCAAGUUUUUAUUUUGAAAACAUAGCCAUUCCUUGGCGUUGGCUGAGUUCACCCUCACGUGGUGGUUUGGCGUGAAGUGAACUCUAAAGUUGUACCUCAGGAAUUACCUUAUGCUCUCCGAACGAGGUAAGAUAUAACAGGAUUCUGUGCCCCUCAAAAAGGCUAGUCCACAGAACCUGCCUACUACAGCAAGCUAAACCCACCAUACAAUAAAAUUUGCAAUAGCAUGACAUGGCAAUUAUUUUAUUUUACAGCCUCUCAAGGCAAAUCAACAAUUCAUACAUUUUCAGCACAUUUACCAAUUCAACCAUUCAUGCCAAUAUUAUCAUAAGCCAUUCAAUUAGAACCAUAAAUUUGCAACACAUCAAGUAGUCUCCAAUUACUCAAUUUUCAAAGCCAUCAUUCAAUUUCAAGACAAUUUAUAAACUCAUUUCAUUUAAACACAUUUUGUUUAUAAAACCUAAAGAUUUACCAUUUAAACUCAUUUUCCAUAAAAUCACAAAAACGAUUUAAAAAUCACAAAAUGAAGAUGAUGAUAAGGUUACUCACUAUUUCGGGAGUCGAAUUUUUAAAGUACUCUGACUAUAGAUCUUCGGGUACAAUUUCUUUGCCCUUAUCGGAGGAUUCACCACCUAGACAUAAUGCACAAUCAAGCAAUUUACCACAUUGGUGCUAAACUGUUAUAAAACUAUAUGGAUGCAUGAAAUGGAAUGUAAAUUGUUCGGAUUAUUGUCUAAACACGGUGUUCUACACAAAUUCAAUUGUGUACCAAAAUAAAACGGUAUUGACCUAAUUUGAUCUAUCACUCGGUUAAUUGGCUAAUAUGUCCAAUUCAACUCCAAUUAACUCUAUUUUUCUCCCAAUACUCCAAAUCAUCAAACACAAAUUAAAUAACUUGAAAUUUUACCUUUGAUUGCUUGAUUACUUGAAAUCCACCAAUUUUCUCUUGAAUUUUCACUCUAGGGUUUUUGUUGUUUCUUUUCUUCUUUUGUUCUUGCUUUGGCCGGCCAUAAGAAUGAAUGUGGAAGAGUUCAAAUUGGCUUUAUAAAGGAAAAUAUUAAAUGGACAAAAAUUUGUCAUGUGUCACCAUUCCAUUGGUCCAUGUGUCAUACUUACCCAUUAAGCAAUCUCUCUCCACCAUUAAAUUUCCUCAAUUAUUCAUGAUAAUAUUGGGUAAAAUCUAUGUGCUGGACAAAUGUUGGGUGGUGUAAAAUUAUAAUUUUGCCCCUAGGGUGGCAAAAUGACUAUUUUACCCUUUAUGCUCGGAACAAUGCCAGAAUUAAAAUUUUUCACUUCUCAAACUCAAAUUAUACUCCAAAUGAUCAAUCUUAGUCAAAAAUUUUAUCCAACACUCACAUCUUAACCUUGGGUGGCAAAAUGACCAUUUUGCCCUUGGGUCAUGAAAAAUUCAAUUUGACUCCAAAUCAGUCCUCAAACUCUGAAUCACCAUUUUAAGUCAUUCUAGGGUCUUAAAAUUCUCAAUUUCAUCUUCAAAUCUCUAUUUCGACUAGUUCGAGGCUUAAUUCAACUUAAUUGUACUAUUUGGUAUAUUACCGUCCUUUAACGAUUUCUGAGGUUCCCAAGUAAUCAAACAUGCAUUCUUAUGUAAGAAUGGCAUAAUAAAUAUAUUGUAGAGCCGGGCUUGAUAGCACUACCCCCCUUAAAAUAAAAGUUUGACCUCAAAAUUUCAUUUACUGAACUCAGAGAAAAGGCGAGGGUAUUGUUUUCUCAUCUAAUGCUCGACUUCUUAUGUCCUCUCCUUUAUAGGGAAUUUCGAUUUGUUCACCUCAUUUACCUUCAAUUCAACUCGAAUACUUCACUUAUGUCUAUUAUUAUCCUUUAAAAUCAUAUCAACAGUAACCUUCAUAAUUAUAAUCUUUUAUAACGAGACACUAAGCAUGCUUCUAUUACUAUCAUUAAACUUGAACCAUAACUCCAUCUCAAUCAUAUCAAUUUUGAUCGCAUUUUAUACUUAUUUAGGUAUACUAAUCACUAUCUUAUUACUUCAUUCCAUAUCAAAUUUCUCGACUUUCAUUCAUUCAUCCUAUCCUCAUACACUAUUGUGUAGUUUACGACAUCAUUAACACGCCAUACUCAUUCCUGUACAUAUCCUCAGUGUUAGGGAAGAUUAAUGGCUUCAAUUAUUUCCACAUACUUCAUGUUUACCUUACAUUUAGGAAAUUUCAAUCUUCUUAAUCUUAUUAAUCCAUUUCAUAUGGCUUAAUCGCACAAUAGAUUACAUUCCUUUAACUAUUUCCCCAAAAUUCCUUAGGUCGCCAUAAAUCUACUUCUGAUAAGAUUCUUGAUCGUUACAUUAUCUAUACAAGUCAUCAAAUAUAUUGAGUUCAAAUCCCGAACCACUAAAACCAUUCUUCAUUUUAGUUGGGUACAUCACUAACUCCACACAUACGUAUACACGCACAUUCAAAUGUCCAUAUUCCUCAUUAUGUAUACGGGUCUCUAUUUUCAAAUGCCUUCAGACUAAUUUCUCUUUGUUCAUUCCCAUCCAUAACCAAGAUUCAAUGGAAUAAUCUUCAUAAUUCAUACAAAUUCUCAUCAUGCCUGUGCAUAAUUCCACAUCAUUUACAUACUUAUACUCUCUUCUUAUCAUUUCCAAUUAUAUGCUUAGGUUUCCUUGUACUAUAUAAUUGCAUCACAAUGUCAACUCCAUUAAACUAUAAUCUAUUAUGGGUGUAUGCUUUAUAAUGUCAUUGAUGCCUCAAAGAUUUAUCUUAACUUGAUCAUUGCAUCUUAUGCAAUACCACAAUUCCUAAGAGUCAUCCUUUUUCCUUGAUUAUCCUUCAUGCCUCUACAUUACCUUGUAUCCUUCUUGCAUUCCGAUAUUGAUUUGUCACUUAAAACUCAAACUCAUUUGAAUCAUUGAUGCCUAAAGCAUUUUUGAAUUCCAAUUUUCAUAAUAUAUUAAGAAAGUUUCAUUAUCCGACUUCAUUAUCAAGGUUAACUUCUAUCAUCCUUUGUUCCACUCUUUCAUACGAAUAUAACAUCAUUCUUCCUUAGCCAAUUUACAGAUUGUACUUGAAAUUGUAAAACUUGAAACUAUGUCCUCCUCAAGUACUUUUCAAUGUCAAUACAAGUAUCACUCUCAACUUACGGCUUCCUUUUUAUGAUCAUAUAACUUAGUGCUUACUUUCACGAGAUCCAUGGUAGAACUUCCCUUGAGUAUUUCUUUGGGGAUAUCUAUCUUAAACUUAUGUCUCACAGUAGGUGAUCACUUAACUCGUGACUUAGCUGUUUGGCUCCUUGGCAAGUUUCAAAAUCACACAUCUUAUACUCAUCUCGUAUAAUUUAUAAUUCUUUCUCAAAGGCGUUUAAACAUUCUUGAAAAACUUAAUCACUUAUUUGCUCUUUCAUACUCCAAGUAUAUCAUUUCCAUAAAGGCAUGCACUUGCUCACCAAAAUAUUUACAUGCAUGCUUAACUAUUCAUGCUUCAACUUAUCUCCAAGGGUUUCUAGCAUACUACGUGGUUUACUUGUGUUGUCACUAAUCCUUUCCUUUCAACAAAGUCAAGACAAGAUUUGUAAAUUCUCAUAACAAUAUUCUAUAUAAACUCAUUUGCUAUAUCAUUCUUGAAAUCUUUAUUCACACUUUCAUCACUUGGUAUUAACAUCUCUUAUCAAUAUCUCAUACAUUCAUCUAACCUUUCCCUCACUUCCUCUUUAACCUUUUACAAGGUUUACUUUGUUUCUUAAGAUUUGACUUUAGUCAACAUAUUAUUCACCUUAACACUCCCCUAAUGCACUUAAGACUCCCAAUAACGAAACUCGACAUCAAAACCAAUGAUCAUUUUCCAACUCAUGAGUCCAAUCUUUAUACUGCUCACAGUUUGCUCAUACUUUCUAGCCAUUAGGGGUUCUUAAAGCGAUAGCGUUUGAUAGUCAGUAUUGUAGUGUUGCAACUGUUUGACUUCACUUUAUCCCAACAACUACCUCAAUUAUUCACAAUCGUGUGGCUUCCCUCUGAGUCUAUACAACAAUUAGUAAGACUAACUUUCUAUCACAAGUGCACGAUCAAAACAUUGAUUUAACGUAUUUAUUUUGCCACUAACAUUCAUAUAUCUUUACCAUAACAUUUAGUACAAGUUUGCUUAAGCAAAAAUCUCCAAAUUUAUUCAUAGCUACAUGUAUCUCAGAUUACACACCACUUAUCAUCAGUCAAUAAAUCCCACUUGAGAAUACUCUUUCCAUAUUGUAUAGUGACUUCACCAUAUACGUAUGACACCAUACACAUAAUUAUUCGUUGUUUUCUAGUGUUCCACAAUUCCUUAGUAUUCACAACUACUAGUCUUCUUUGUCUUACAACUCGUAUAGUCCAAUCACUUCAACUUAAAAUCGUCAUAAAAUUAAUCCACCUAUAUCAACAUUUUAUGCUUAUCUUAUUAUUAGUUCAAAAGCUUCAUGAUCAUGGAAACUACAAUUUNAUACACAUAAUUAUUCGUUGUUUUCUAGUGUUCCACAAUUCCUUAGUAUUCACAACUACUAGUCUUCUUUGUCUUACAACUCGUAUAGUCCAAUCACUUCAACUUAAAAUCGUCAUAAAAUUAAUCCACCUAUAUCAACAUUUUAUGCUUAUCUUAUUAUUAGUUCCAGAGUUUCAUGAUCAUGGAAACUACAAUUUACAAAACUAGCUUUCUAUCAUAUGUACUUUAUUAGAACACUAAUUUCAACAUAUUUAAUCUACCUUUGGUGGUAUGUCAAAAUCAUCCCUGUCUCAGUUGUAAUCCAGAGGAAUCUCUCCUCUACAUAUCUAUACGAGCUGGUGGAGAUGGAGCACCUACCGUAGCCUGUCCUAACUGUGGGCAAUCUCUCCUAAUGUGACCCGGCUAACCACAAUAAAAACAUCGUACAAGCCCUCUACACGACCCGACAUGAUAUCUCCCACAAUUUCUGCAUCUAUCAAAACCUCCGAAACUCUUCCCAAAAAUAGUCAUCGCAAAUGUGUUAGAUCUUGGAGACCUCUACUGUGUUUGUGAAAAUGGAGGUCUGGAAGAUGUUACUGAAACAGUAGUAGUACUUCCUGAAACAGAUGAGUCUUUGCCCUUUUUUGGUGACUGACUAGAAGAUACACUCAAAUUUCUCCUUUUUGCUAACUCAGCUCGCAUUCUCCUAUUUUCAUUCGCAAGCUUCUCAACUCUUAAAGCCAUUUGCACCACCUUUUUAGCUACAGUUGCGUCCGACUCACCCAUAAAAGAAACACAACCAUGUUGCCUAGCCUCUUUAAGCUUCUUAGAAAUAGAAACAUCCAGCACUGGUGGUGGGACAGGAGGUGGGGGUGGUGGUACUAAAGGAGCAACUUGAGGAACUGUAAGAAGAGCUUGACCAGCCUAAGCCUGGCCAGUAAUAGCAGUAAAGAAGGCUACCAAUGCCUGAACUGCCUUAAGAGGCAUGGCAAGAAUACUAGUAAGUGGCGAAUGAGGUAGAGGAUGUGGAGGAGUCUCAGUCUGCUCAGCAGCAGGUGCUGCCCGAAUAGUAGACGCAUUUGAUUCCCCCUCUAUAGGAUCUAGCUGGCGAUGUUGAGAACGACCUCUUCCCCUCUUAGCCGAUCUAGUGAGAGGUGGGUGUUCAUGUCGAGGAGGCAUGAUAAUCUAUAAGAAGGAAUAAGGAAAGUUUAAACAACCUCAGGCUUUACAUGCAAUACAUGCAUUUUAUUCAGUCUAACCUAACUUAACUCGGGGCCACACUAACACUGUAAAUUUUUAAAAUAACUUUAAACCCAAAAGCUAUGUGCUCUGAUCUUUAAAACUAAAAGCUUUGAUCUUUAAAACCAAAAACUCUGAUAUCACUAUAAUUGUCACGACCCGUUACUCCCCUCGAGCCCGUGACUCCCUUCGAGCCCGUGACAACCGUUGCGAUGUCUAGAUUGACAUUCAUUGCCCGGAAUGUCAAUCGAAAUCUCGCAAGGCUUUACUAUUAGUUUUCGCACCUCCCUUGGGAGCAACAGUUAUUAAGUAUUAUGUUUUGAGAGAUUAUAAACUAUUUCCAAAUCGAAACAAUAGAAAAAUAAUUUUUUUCUCACAGGGGCAUUUUAGUCAUUUUUUCUUAAAAAUCUCGAAACCAGCUAAAAAUGUAGUUUGCGAGUGGAAAAUACAUAUUACAUAAUCAAAAAUAAGUUUAAAUGUCUAAAACAUUCAUUUAAAGUGAAACUAUACCUAUUUGAAUAUAAUAAAAAUAUUCUAUUUUCUUAUAAAACAAUAUUUAUAGAGUUACUGGUAAAUAAUUUUUGUUGUGUAAAAGCUAAAUAAAUUCAUAUAUACUGUAAUACAGAUAACUAAAGCAUAAGAUUUAAUUUAUAGUGACACGUGGGCCAACGAAAGACCAAAAGUAUCAAAAGCGGUAAACCUACAGUUUUUUAGGAUGCAAGUCCAACUGUAGCCCUCAACGAAAUGAGCUAUCUACCGACUAUCCUGAGCCUGAAAGGUGUGGAAAGGAGGGUGGUGAGAUUAUAUAAUCCCAGUAAGUAAACAAAUAUCAUCUAAAAUAUCUAAAGCCGAGUAAAUGGAGACAGAUAAAAUAGAUUAGCAUAAAAAUGAUUCACAGCAUUUCGAACUCAUUUUAAUAAGAUAAAAUAGAUUCAUUUCACUCAAAUAAACAACGAGGCUUAUGAUUUCCUAAAAAGCUUGGCUUAUGCCAAAAUCAUUCUCAUACUUAGUUAUCAGGGAUACCUUGACCUAGGGCUAUCCCAACCGAGUACGUCAAGGCUGUUAAAAAGUCAUGUACGCAUAAAUCAUGUUUUUAUUUUGAAAACAUAGUCGUUCCUUGGCAUUGGAUGAGUUCACUCUCACGUGGUGGUUUGGCAUGAAGUGAACUGUAAAGUUGUACCUCAGGAGUUACCUACGCGCCUCUUCGAAUGAGGUAAGAUAUAACAGGAUUCUGUGCUCCUCAAAAAGGCUGGUCCACAGAACCCACCCACUGUAGCAAGCUAAACCCACCAUACAUUAAAAUUUGCAAUAGCAUGACAUGGAAAUUAUUUUAUUUUACAGCCUCUCAAGGUAAAUCAAUAGUUCAUACAUUUUCAGCACAUUUACCAAUUCAACCAUUCAUGCCAAUAUUAUCAUAAGCCAUUCAAUUAGAACCAUAAAUUUACAACACAUCAAGUGGUCUCCAAUUACUCUAUUUUCAAAGCCAUCAUUCAAUUUCAAGACAAUUUAUAAAAUCAUUUCAUUUAAACACAUUUUGUUUAUAAAACCUAAAGAUUUAUCAUUUAAACUCAUUUUCCAUAAAAUCACAAAAUCGAAUUAAAAUUCACUUCAGAUAAUCAAGAUAAUAAUAAGGUUACUCACUAUUUCGGGAGUCGAAUUUUUAGAGUACUUAGACUAACGAUCCUCGGGUACAAUUUCUUUGCCCUUAUCGGAGGAUUUACCACCUAGACAUAAUGCACGAUCAAGCAAUUUACCACAUUGGUGCUAAACUGUUAUAAAACUAUAUGGAUGCAUGAAAUGGAAUGCAAAUUGUUCAGAUUAUUGUCUAAAUACGGUGUUCUACACAAAUUCAAUUGUGUACCUAAAUAAAAAGGUAUUGACCUAAUUCGAUCUAUCACUUAGUUAAUUGGCCAAUAUGUCCAAUUCAACUCCAAUUAACUCCAUUUUUCUCCCAAUACUCCAAAUCAUCAAACACAAAUUAAAUAACUUGAAAUAUGGCAAAAUCAUCCUCACAUUUUCUCUUGAAAAAUUCAGCCAUGGAGGGUUCACUAACAAUAUAACUUUCAAGCUUGAUUCUCACACCAUGAAUCACUAAUUCCUAAGUAAAUCAUUUGAAAUAAAAAUCAAAAUCAUCAUCAAUAUUCCACAUGCAGAAUUCGGCCAAUGAGGGUUAUGGAAGAACAUGAAUUUUUCUUGCUUGAUUUUCAUGCUACACAUCACCAAUCAACUAAAAACACUAGAAUAUCUUAAAAUCUAACCAAAACAACCAUCAAAAUCUCUCUCCAAGUAUUCGUUCAGCAAGAAAUCCAUCGUGAAAUCAUGUGAUUCAACCAUGGAAAAUGCAAAAGAAUGUAUGGGAAAGGUAGAUCACAAGUCAAAAUCAAGAAAUUUUACCUUUGAUUGCUUGAUUACUUGAAAUCCACCAAUUUUCUCUUGAAUUUUCAGUCUAGGGUUUUUGUUCUUUCUUUUCUUCCUUUGUUCUUGCUUUGGC
rnacentral:lncRNA from 1 species